AUUCCAGCUCCAAUAGCGUAUAUUAAAGUUGUUGCAGUUAAAAAGCUCGUAGUUGGAUUUCUGGCAGGAUGACUUUGCCCUCUGUAGAGUGCGCAAUGCUGUCCUACCAUCCUUCUGUUAACCCUGGAGGCCUUUAACAGCUUGUAGGGGGCUCAGAUAUUUUACCUUGAGAAAAUUAGAGUGUUUCAGGCAGGCUAGCGCCGGAAUACAUUAGCAUGGAAUAAUAGAAUAGGACUUAAGCCUCUUCUGUUGGUCUGAGGGGUGUAAGUAAUGAUUAAUAGGGAUAGUUGGGGGCAUUAGUACUUAACUGUCAGAGGUGAAAUUCUCGGAUUUGUUAAAGACUAACUUAUGCGAAAGCAUUUGCCAAGGAUGUUUUCAUCA
rnacentral:rRNA from 1 species